UACGGGGGGGGCAAGCGUUGUUCGGAAUUACUGGGCGUAAAGGGCUCGUAGGUGGCCAACUAAGUCAUACGUGAAAUCCCUCGGCUUAACCGGGGAACUGCGUCUGAUACUGGAUGGCUUGAGGUUGGGAGAGGGAUGCGGAAUUCCAGGUGUAGCGGUGAAAUGCGUAGAUAUCCGGAGGAACACCGGUGGCGAAGGCGGCUUCCUGGACCGACACUGACGCUGAGGCGCGAAAGCGUGGGGAGCGAACAGG
rnacentral:rRNA from 1 species